rfam:Gossypium hirsutum cultivar TM-1 chromosome 10, whole genome shotgun sequence
AAUCCAUGAUGCGAAAACCUUCUCAAAAGAUCUUUAAAUCUCUCCCAUGCAUCGUACAGUGUUUUAAGCUCAAAUUGAGAAAAAGAAGAUAUAUCAUUCCUCAACUU